CACAAAGCAUCAGUUUAUACAACAAGAUUGAAUUAAGCAAACCUUAACAAUAUUUAAUAUGAAAUCUUUUGGGAUAUUUGUCGUCCUUUUUGCCUUCAUCGCUCUAAGUUUAGCUGGUGGACAUGAUCAUGAUUACUAUAGUAGUUCUCAUGAUGACUACAAAAAGGUAGUUUACGUAGAAAAAGAACCAGAAUACAAAAAAGUAGUCUAUAAAUAUGAGAAACCAGAUGAGAAGAAGGUUAAUGUUAAUAUUAAAGUAAUCAAAGAAAAAGAAAGGGAUGACGAUGUUUUGUAUAAAUACGUUGAGAAGAAGUACCAUCAUUAAUACUUUUGUUGGAUUUUAUUGCAAUCUUAUUAAAUAAAUAUGUUUAAAGGCUU